ACUGUCCUUAAUCCCACACUUUCCAAAUUCCAAACCUGUCAAAAAAAAGUUUAAAUUCUUCUUCUUCUUUACUGUCCCAAAAUCUCUCUCGUCCUUUUUCUCUCUCUCACGAACUCUCCUCUUCUUCUUCUUUUCAUUCUUCUUCUUCCUUCCUCCUUUUCAAUCUGACUUUUUUUGAUUUUGUUCUUUCAGAAAGUAUGUAAUCGCUAUUCGAGUGGGUAAAUCAACGAUUUGGUUACUUCAAACGGUAGGACAGGGAAUCCAUCCAUCAAUUUGGGAAUUUCUACUCAGUUCUAUGAUGCCAAGAGUAAAUUUGAGGAAAGAGAGGAGAUAAGGCAGCGUAGAAGGUUGAAGCUGUUUUGCUGCUUUUGGGAUACCCGUGAUUUGGUGGGUCGACAUGAUUUAUGUGAAAGGGGAAAAGGUGUGGUGAUGUUGGCUCACGCGGAAGGGGAAGAUUCGUCGGCGGUGGUUUUGAUGCAAGCUUGGCAACGGUCGUUGAUUUUGGUCUUUCGAUGUCAGGGUCAUGUACUACUCUUUCAAACAUUGUUUCUAAUAUAGAGAUUAUUGAAAUUCUAUUUUAUUUAUGGAUUACUACUGUGAAUCCAGCAUAUGCAACUCGGUUUCUUUGAAAUCUGGAAAGAAAGUUGCUGAUUCCGUUUGCUGCCGAUCAUGGGAAACUGGACUAAGCAGCCGAUUGCUAUAUCAAAACAUGAACUCGAAGGUCACAACUUUUAAUUGUUCAUGAAUUAUACUUCUCUAUAUUUCGAUUUCUAACAAAUUGGGAUAUCUAAAUAAUGGUCUUCCACAAGACAGAGCAACACCUUGGUUUGACAAGAGCUUCUUGAUUAUUGCCUUGCUGAACUGGGAGGGAAAGUGGUGUAUGGUGGCAUUGUUACUGAUCCAUUGGCUGUAGAAAGAAAUAUUGUUGUCCAUGGACAGAUAAUUCUGCAACUGUUAGCAGACUCUUUGCAACACCCUAUUACCUUCAAUCAACGUCAACGACUUUGUUGAUGAAUCUGUCAAAGAAUUCUAUUGCACUUCAGCUUUCAUCGUUGGCACACCUGAACAUGUGGGAGUUUUGCUGGAACACCACCCAAGAAGAUGGUUGUUGAUGUUGUGUUUAUGGCUACUAUCAACAUGGUUUGGCACUUUGAUAUUGUGUGGUGCUGCAUAUCUCUCAACAAAAUUCUCAUUCUUCCGUAGCUACCCUCAUUUGUCUAUAGAGACAUGUCAAAAAAUAUUGCAGGGAUGGUCUCAAAGUUAUUUUCGUCUCCUUAGGAUGCUUUUCACAACCAUAAAGCUUCUCACUCUAUUCGUUUUCUUCACUCAGGUAGGACGAAGAGGAAUCAUCCAGCAACAAAGCGGUUCCGCGACAUGGAACAAUUGUCUGGUGGUGAAAAGACUGUUGCUGCACUUGCAUUGCUAUUCUCCAUCCAUAGCCAUACUUCAAGCUGUGGUUGGAAGUCAAGCUAUCAUCACCGGAACUUUCUUGAUAAUCAAACAAUGUUCCUCUUUAGGAUGCUUCCCAAGAGUCAAAAUCGUUCAUACAUCGUCCGCAAUACCGCUUUCGGUGUCAAUGCGGUAAUUCUCUUCCCGGAAAUGGUUUUCAAACUGAACAUGGUGCGGUAAUUCUCUUUCCGGAAAUGGUUUUUAAACUGAACAUGGUUUGUGUAAUGUAAUAGUUCCUUAGCUGCUUAUGGAGCGUAUGUGCAUCCUAUGCCAUAUUCGAACGAGAUUGGUUUGCGAAUGCUUAUAGGCGGGGUUGUCAGGGAGGCUGCUGUGUUGGGGUAUCACGAGGGGACAGAAGUUAGAAUGAAUUUCACUUGAGAUUCACACUCUUAUUAUAUGAGAAUGGCAUUGGAGACAAUUCAGCAAAAAGAGAUGCAAUUCAGGUGAACUUUGGAUUGUCAAGGCCCACAUCCCCUGGAAAAGAGAGAGUUAGCACCGGUAUAUAUUAGCAAUAGUAUUCUGUUAAGGUUCUGUUAAUAGUAUCGAUGGAGCUUGCUGAUUCCGUUUGCUGCCGAGUAUGAUGGCGAUGGUUCAAAAUUCGCAAGUUGUUGUGAGUUGUUGAAGAAGGUAUGUGUAACAUUUUUUUUCUGCAGAUGUUGAAAUUUCGAGAUCGCGUCGGAGUUGGUGAUGUGCGAUCUGAUGUUGUUAUUUGAAGAUGCUGCUAAUUAAUAUAAAUAUGCAGAUUUGGAAAAUUGAUGAUAUGGAUUAACACGUUGAUGGCCGUGCGGUUGAAGCUGAAGGCGUUAUCGAGUUCUGUUGAUUCUGUGUUGCUGUGUUGCUGUGUAA